rnacentral:rRNA from 1 species
UACAGAGGUCUCAAGCGUUGUUCGGAUUCAUUGGGCGUAAAGGGUGCGUAGGUGGUCGUUUAAGUCCGUUGUGAAAUCCCUGGGCUCAACCUGGGAAUGGCAGUGGAUACUGGACGGCUAGAAUGCGGUAGAGGGUAGUGGAAUUCCCGGUGUAGCAGUGAAAUGCGUAGAGAUCGGGAGGAACACCAGUGGCGAAGGCGGCUCACUGGACCACAACUGACGCUGAGGCGCGAAAGCUAGGGGAGCAAACAGG